rnacentral:rRNA from 1 species
CAACGAUGAAGAGUUUGAUCCUGGCUCAGGAUGAACGCUAGCGGCA